rnacentral:rRNA from 1 species
GCAGCAGGCACGCAAAUUACCCACUCCCGGCACGGGGAGGUAGUGACAAAAAAUAACGAUACGGGACUCUAUUGAGGCCCCGUAAUCGGAAUGAGUACACUUUAAAUCCUUUAACAAGGAUCCAUUGGAGGGCAAGUCUGGUGCCAGCAGCCGCGGUAAUUCCAGCUCCAAUAGCGUAUAUUAAAGUUGUUGCGGUUAAAAAGCUCGUAGUUGGUUCUGCGUGCCACGCUGUCGGUUCGCCGCCUGUCGGUGUAACUGGCAUGUCGUGGCAUGUCCUGUCGGUGGUGAAUGGGAUCCCUGGUACGAUGUAGGCUUUUAUAGUUGAACUCUUUACCGUGUGUGUUUCCGUUUGCCGAUCUCUCCUACUCCGGUGCUCUUAAACGAGUGUCGAGGUAGGCCGACACGUUCACUUUGAACAAAUUAGAGUGCUUAAAGCAGGCUAAAAUAUCUGCCUGAAUAGUGGUGCAUGGAAUGAUAAAACAGGACCUCAGUUCUAUUUUGUUGGUUUUAGGAAUAUGAGGUAAUGAUCAAUGUGGACUGGCGGGGGCAUUCGUAUUGCGACGUAGAGGUGAAAUUCUUGGAUCGUCGCAAGACGUACUAGAGCGAAAGCAUUUGCCAAGUAUGUCUUAAUUGAUCAAGAACGAAAGUUAGAGGUUCGAAGGCGAUCAGAUACCGCCCUAGUUCUAACCAUAAACGAUGCCAGCCAGCGAUCCGCCGAUGUUCCUUUAAUGACUCGGCGGGGAGCUUUUACUCGGGAAACCAAAGCUUUUGGGUUCCGGGGGAAGUAUGGUUGCAAAGCUGAAACUUAAAGGAAUUGACGGAAGGGCACCACCAGGAGUGGAGCCUGCGGCUUAAUUUGACUCAACACGGGAAACCUCA